UAUAUUAAGGUGUAAGAUGCACAAUAGUUUUUGAAACUAUUUGGGAUAGUUUAAUUCUAUCUAAUGUAA
rnacentral:tRNA from 1 species